rnacentral:tRNA from 1 species
AGAAUUUUUUUUUAUUAUAGAAUAUUAGACUGUAAAUCUAAAGGUCAAGUUCUA